CGAGUCCUGCGAUGUUCGUGACACCCGAAAGUUUUGAGCCAACACGAUGACAAAGGGAGCUUGAAGUCACCCGAGGGAGUGGAAGCCACCGCCGAGUGGACCCAUGAACUGCGGGUUCAGGGCACCCACCUGCUGAUGAGGCAGGUUCAAAACUGACGGAGCACGGCAUAAUGGGGCUCCU
rfam:Thermoactinomyces vulgaris strain NRRL F-5595 F5595contig3.1, whole genome shotgun sequence.